rnacentral:rRNA from 1 species
CCUACGGGAGGCAGCAGUGGGGAAUAUUGCACAAUGGGGGAAACCCUGAUGCAGCAACGCCGCGUGAAGGAAGACGGUUUUCUGAUUGUAAACUUCUGUUCUUAGUGAAGAAUAAUGCCGUUCGCUCAGGCGCCCGCCCCGCCUAACUACGUGCCAGCAGCCGCGGUAAUCCGUAGGUGGAAAGCGUUGUCCGGAAUUACUGGGUGUAAGGGUAGCGCAGGCGGGAAGCCAAGUCAGCUGUGAAAACUACGGGCUUAACUUGUAGACUGCAGUUGAAACUGGUGUUCUUGAGUGAAGUAGAGGUAGGCGGAAUUCCGGGUGUAGCGGUGAAAUGCGUAGAUAUUAGGAGGAACACCGGUGGCGAAGGCGGCCAACUGGGCUGUAACUGACGCUGAGGCUCGAAAGCGUGGGGAGCAAACAGGAUUAGAUACCCCAGUAGUC